rnacentral:tRNA from 1 species
AGAAAGAUAAGCUAAAUUAAGCUAUUAGGUUCAUACCCUAGGUAUAGAAUUGUUAUUCUUUUUUCUA